CAAUAGUAGGAACUGCAAUACCCUAUUUUUCAACAAUAGAUAGAUAAUCCAGACUUAAAAGUAGUAAAGAGGAGUUCCCGUCGUGGCACAGUGGUUAACGAAUCCAACUAGGAACCAUGAGGUUGAGGGUUCGGUACCUGCCCCUUGCUCAGUGGGUUAACGAUCUGGCGUUGCCGUGAGCUGUGGUGUAGGUUGCAGACGCGUCUCGGAUCCCGCGUUGUUGUGGCUCUGGCGUAGGCCGGUGGCUACAGCUCCGAUUGGACCCCUAGCCUGGGAACCUCCAUAUGCCGCGGGAGCGGCCCAAGAAAUAGCAACAACAACAACAACAAAAAGACAAAAAAAAAAAAAAAAAGUAGUAAAGAGACAGUGGACUUAACUCCAUCUGAUCUAAUGUGAAGUUUAACAGUCACUAACAGAGCACUUUAUCCCACAGCAGGAACAUACACACUUUUCUCAAGUGCACAUAGAGAAUUCUCUAGGACAUAUCAUAUCAUAUGUUAGGCCACAAAGCAAGUUAUAAUAAAGAUGAUUAAAACCACAUCAGAAGUUCCCGUCAUGGCGCAGUGGUUAACGAAUCCGACUAGGAACCAUGAGGUUGCCAGUUCGAUCCCUGCCCUUGCUCAGUGGGUUAAGGAUCCAGCAUUGCCGUGAGCUGUGGUGUAGGUUGCAGAUGCAGCUCGGAUCCUGCGUUGCUGUGGCUCUGGCGUAGGCCGGUGGCUACAGCUCAAAUUAGACCCCUAGCCUGGGAACCUCCAUAUGCCACAGGAGCGGCCCAAGAAAAGGCAAAAAGACAAAAAACAAACAAACAAACAAACAAAAACAUCAAACCUCUUUCCCAAUACACUGGUUGCAAGUAGAAGUCAGUUGCAAGAAGAAAGCUGGAAACUUCACCAAUAUGUGGAAAUAAAGCAACUUACUACUAAACAACAGUACGUCAAGAAAUGGCAAAAAGACAAAAAAAAAAAAAAAAAUGUCUCAGAUUGGAUGGUUGAACAAAGUAAGAGGAAUAGUUUACAUCACACCUCCCCCAAGAUGGCACAACUUAAAGCCAAGAGACAUCUCCCUGGUCCCUGAUUCCUCCUGCAGGGGCAAGUGAGAGCAUGUGAGCUAGAAUGUAACUUGCCAAAUUGUGCGGGAUGCUGCCCAAAAGGCCCAUUGUUUUCUUGUCCCAUUCAGAGUGCUGAAUUAUGAGUUGCAUGACUCGGGGGUGGGGGGUGGGAAGAGGUAGCAGAUAGGAUUCUUUUAUGGCAUUAAGCU
rnacentral:lncRNA from 1 species